rnacentral:rRNA from 1 species
AUACGGAGGGUGCGAGCGUUAUCCGGAUUUAUUAGGUUUAAAGGGUGUGUAGGCGGGAGCCUAAGUCAGUGGUGAAGUCUCACAGCUUAACUGUGAAACUGCCAUUGAAACUGGGUUUCUUGAGUAUGGUUGAGGUAGGCGGAAUGUGUAAUGUAGCGGUGAAAUGCAUAGAUAUUACACAGAACACCGAUUGCGAAGGCAGCUUACUAAGCUAUUACUGACGCUGAUGCACGAAAGCGUGGGUAGCGAACAGGAUUAGAAACCCCAGUAGUCC